rnacentral:rRNA from 1 species
CACGUAGGGGCCGAGCGUUGUCCGGAGUUACUGGGCGUAAAGCGCGCGCAGGCGGCCCGCCGCAUCACCGGUGAAAGCCCCGGGCUUAACCCGGGAGGGUCCGGUGAGAUGGGUGGGCUGGAGGCAGGGCGAGGGCGGUGGAAUUCCGGGUGUAGUGGUGAAAUGCGUAGAGAUCCGGAGGAACACCAGUGGCGAAGGCGGCCGCCUGGACCUGACCUGACGCUGAGGCGCGAAGGCGUGGGGAGCGAACGGGAUUAGAUACCCCAGUAGUCC